CUUGUACUCCCUCCAUCCGAAAAUACUUGUCAUUGAAAUGGAUGUAUCUAGAUGUAUUUUAGUUCUAGACACAUCCAUUUUGAUGACAAAUAAUUCUGGACGGAGGGAGUACUUG
rnacentral:pre_miRNA from 1 species